ensembl:lncRNA
CUUAUCCAACAAGCUGUCACCUUCAGUGUACUAAUCUUAAUGCAACAGCUGUUUUAUUUGCUCUACUGUGUAAUGAAUACCUUUUUUUUUUUUUUUUUCUGUGCUCCCUCUACGGUGUUACGAUGUUAGAAACUGUGAGGAUAGCAGUCUUGCUAUGUACACAAAAGCAUGUGUUAAUUGUUUCUAGGUGUGUUCUCUUAAAAAAAAAAAAAAAAAAAUAGAAUAAGGCUAUGUAAGUGUUUUGUUUCCAUCUGUUAUCUGUCAUUGGUUUUCAUGUUUUGUAUGACCAUGGUGUCUUUUGAUACAGGGAUAUUCCUGCACUGAGCUUUGAGUCUGCUUGUUAUGAGCGGUAAUUGCCUCUACUUUAUUUGGUGUUAUAUAUAUAUAUAUAUAUAUAAUGAUGAUCUUAUAGGACCAAAACAGAAAUAAAACAGCCUAAAUGAGUAGCUAAUGCAGUAUGUAUGCCUUUUCCAUAAAAUGUCUUCCCUACAUACAAAUGCCAAUGUUCAGGCCCCAUAAAGUGUCAACAAUGAACUGAAAUGCGUUCUUUUUAAAGCUAAUUCACCAAACCUAAACUAAGAAUACUUUGGUGUUCAGCAACUUUUAGGCUGGAAUCCAAACUUGAGAUCUGUGCGCCAAAACUUGACACGUACAGAUCGAAAGUUAGAAUUCGGCCCUCACGUGCUAGAUUUAGUUCAAACCAAAGGAGCAGAAGAAGACAACAUUUUGUGUGCUGUUUCACUGACGCUGAUGUUUGUGCUGUUUUUCCCCACAAUGAUGUUUCCUGUGGUGGCUGAGAGCGAGACAAGAGUCCAGCACUUCCUUCUCCAGGCCGGGCUCCCCUUUCAGAGAGACAAGACCUCCACAAGGCCACUUAUCAAGGUGCCGCCCUUUUAGAGAAGAGUCUCGCAAGGAACCUCCUCUGGACAAAGGGUAAGUCAGAACUUCUCUUCCCUGCCUUGGUUCCUUCAGUCUCCUCUUUCUGCUUUGGUGCCCAUGUAAGACUGGAGACCAGGGAAGAUGUUCAACGAAUGAGCCCCUGUGGAUAUUUCUCAAAUAGAAAAUGUAAUGUUAUGUAACACAUUUGUCUACAUCCUUCACUUUAUUCAAUGUAAUCUUGUACACUACUGUUUCCUUAUGAUAUAACAUCAAUGUGCAUGCUUUGUCCUUAAUUGAGAACAUAACGUGUUCAUUUUUCAUUUGGCGUAUUAAUAUAAUAAACAUAGGCACAGACUAUCUGAAGAUUUUGAGUUUCUUUGGUAACCGUUUACUUGGACGCUGCCAUAGCCUACAUUAAUCGCGUUGCCAUAAUGACAAGAUGUCACAAAAACAAUCAUGACUUAGCCUGUCUGCUUAAUGACAACUGACUUAAAACAAACAUGACUCAACCAUGGUUUGAAUUUAAGGGGUGCUAGAAUAUGAACUUAAACAGUCAGUGAGGACACCCCAAAGAGUUUGUAUAAUUUGAACCCUGAACAGAGUGUUAUUUAGGCAUGCUAACUCCCACGAGUCAACUAGCUUCCAGUACCUACGUAGAUAACAUUGCCUGAACUUUGACAUGUUAUAUCGUCAUGACACCAAAGGGUUCAGGUAAGGUCAAACGAGAUAUGUUGUACAUUCAUUGACUGGUACACUAGUUCACUUUUAGCUGUCAUGUUCUACUUUGAGAACAUUGUGCAGCGAUCAGGAACACCCUGUCAAAGGAAAAGGCUUUCCGAAUGCACAGUCUGUGUAAUCCCCAAUUUGUUAAGCUUUUCUCAAGUCCCUUGCUUUAGUUCUCUUUGCAGAGCUUGGUGGUGACACUCUGUGGGAGGUCAAUGUACCUUUCUUGCUAGCUUUGGCUUUUCUGAUUUUGGUGCAACCUGUAGGUUUUGGUGUUGAUCCCUCACCCCAAGACUGGACCUGGACAAGGGUCUCUGUCCUGUUUAGUUUGGCUGAGCUGGAACAGGGCCUCUUAAAGACUGUAUGUGGCCUUGCACCCACCCUGAUGCAAUUCUGUUUGUAAGGAGCACAAGUCGGCCUAGUGCGUGAGUCUCGAGACCGGCUCAGUUCCGUAACACUGGACACAACUGAAUCUGCUUUCCUCAAGCGAGAAGUGCUCCUGGUCAAGCUGAUGGCCGUAGCCGGCCGACACCGUCCCGUUUUGGUCAGCUCUCGCUGUACUGUGGCCGCCUGCAGAUCCUCCAUCUCAGAUAGUCUGCUUACGAUGGCAACCAAUGAAGGCUCUCGCAUGUGCAGGCUCUGGCGACUUUCCCAAUCGGCCGUGCUAGGCAGACUCCGGGUCAGAUCCAGCACUUUCAGAGAUGCUGGGAGCACCUCCGCAAAUGGUGACUGGGCCUCCGAAGACUCCGAGAAGUGCAAGUCGGAGUCCAGGUCUAAGUCGAAAGGUUCAGGCCUCAACCGGAGCUCUACUUCGGGCGUGACCCACUCGUGGGCCUGGGCGCCCCCUUUCUCUUGGUCGGAUAGAUCGCUGGCGUCAGAGUGGAUGUCUGCCGGUGUGCUGCUACCGUUUUGCUUUGACCCAUCGGUGAUGGUUCCUGACCCAAGCCCUGCUCUGUCAUUCAUUGGGCCCCAACAGUAGAAUGUCUUUACCCUCCUCUCCCCAUUGUACCUUCUCCUGUCCCUCGAAUUGAUAGUGUAAGCCGCCUGGACAGGUGUGAUUUUCAACAGAGACUCACUGGAGCUUGUGUCCCGGCCCUCCCCUUGGUUAUGUUUGGUGAAACUCGGGUGCCGUAGCCUGCUGUUGAGAUGAUGGAUGUUGAUUGUUGGACGUCUGUGGAUCAUCCUGAACUGGGCUCUCUGUGAUUGGCUCUGGCUAAAGAUAAGAGGGAAUAAAAAUAAGUAGUAUGGCGAUCUUAAUAAAUAAUGUCAUAAAACACGUAUUUUAAUUUCAAACUCCAUAAACCUGAAAGGUGUUUUCAUUUACACCUUUGGUAAUACUGACAACCACGUGGUGUUUUUAAAGUAGUUUAUCGAAGCAAAACGGAUACCUAAAAUCUGUCCUAGUGGAUUGACUAUAGCCAAG